CAUACCGGGAGGACGACUUGGACUCCAGAAGCGUACGGGACUAUGGUGGCGCGGUGGAUUUGGGGAUGGGGAGACACCGGAGCAGGAGCCCGGGCGGCGCGUGGAGCAGAUGAGGUGGAGCGCGACGGAUCUGGAGGUCUGGGGGCGCCAGAGGAGGAGGGUGGGGCGGCGCAGCAAGGGAUGGCGGUGGCUAGCGGAGAGGGGAUUGGGAUGGGGAGGGGAAUACCCGAUGCUCCUUCUUCUUGUUGCUCCUCCAUGGCCACUUUGUCUCCCCCUGUCUUCUUCCUGUUUCUGUGCCGAAUCGGAGCCCACGGGCCAAGAGUGCCUUAUCUCUCUUGUUCUCGUUCUAUCUCGCGGGGGCGAUCGCCCUCUCGCACCCAGACCCAUGUUGUUGUCAGUAGCUCACGCCAUCUCACCGGCAUCGGCGGUACCGCCCCAGCUCCCGCGCCGCCGCCUUCUCGUGCGCCCCGCCCGGUGCGCGGGCUUCGUCGGGCCAGCUGUGGAGUCGGCCGCGACCGUCAGCAGCAGCCGCGGCGGGGACUCACUGGCGAUAUGCCGGGUGCUCAAAGGCAUGUGGCAGACUAGCGGCGGGUGGGGCCGCAUAGACCGCGCCGGGGCCGUCGACGCCAUGCUCGCCUACGCCGACGCUGGCCUCUCCACCUUCGACUUGGCCGACCACUAUGAACCGGCAGAGGAUUUGUAUGGCAUGUUCAUCAAUAGAGUACGGCGUGAGCGCCCACCUGAGAUCCUAGAAGAAAUCAAGGGCUUACAAAGUGGGUGCCACCGCUGGUGAAAAUGACAAGAAGCUAUGUUGAGGAUAAUAUCACUGCGAUGGUGCCCUCGACCUCCAGUUGCCUAUGAUUCUUUGGUUUUCCCCUCUUUUUGUGCUUCUUUUCCAUCUUUGCUAAUCCUAUCCCUUCCACUCCCCCCGCCGGUAGCCAUGAUUGUGGCCUAGGUAGGUUCUUCCUUUUCUUUUUUGGUCCCUAGAUGUUUGUAUGCUUGUAUUACGUAGAUAUUUUGUCGCCCUACUCGCAAGCGCUAAUCCUUUUGCGUUCUCUCUGAAAAAUAUUUAUGGAUCAAGGCAAGAAUUAGUCUUUUCCCCGUUGUCUCUCUGGAAAUUACAUACGCACGAGCCAUCGGAGCGUUUUUUCACCGGAAGCCGUUGUCUUUCCUGCGAUAGCCGAUAGGCUAAUUCUGUAGAUUGAUAGUACUGCUUUCAGAUUUUGAUACUGCCGGCAGCCAUGAUUGCCUAGGUAGGUUCUUCUUUUUUCUUUUCUAUAGAUUGCAGCUAAUUCUUUAUUGGUACGGUGGCUGUUUGUAUUCUUGUAUCUUUCAGAUUUUGAUACAAGUUAUACAUCAUGUUUAGCCAGGAAAAUUACUCCCAGCCCUCUCAUAACUUGUAUCUUUCAGAUUUCAGAUUUUGUAUAACUUAUACAACAUCUGAAAGAUACAUAUACAAAAUCUGGGAAGAUUUUGUAUCUUUCAGAUUUUGAGAGGACUGGGCUGAGAGGAAAUCUGAUGGGCUGAUACAAGUUAUACAAGUUAUCCAUGGUCAGUAAUUGAUUUGGUCAUUGUUUCCGUUGCCUGUGAACAGAUGUUGCACACACUCAUUGGUAGUAUGAUUUAAUUUAUCAACAGGUAUGCAUCCUUUUUUUCUCUAUUAUGUUUGCCAGUUGCAGUGUUUUUAUUUGUUCCUAAUCAGUCCAAGGUUGAGCUCAGUCUUGAACAGAUGUUGCACAUACUGAUUGGUAGUAUGAUUUAAUUUAUCAACAGGUAUGCAUCCUUUUUUCUUCUAUUAUGUUUGCCGGUCGCAGUGUUUUUAUUUGUAGCUAAUCAGUCCAAGGUUAAGCUUAGUCUUGGCCUUUUCGGAACCGGUUCCAUGAAAUUUGGUACAUAGAAGAGCACUACAGAGUGCAGAGAUACAAUAUGAUCUUGUGAAAAUCAUUUGAAGGCUGCAGGUUGUAGAACCAUAGCAAAAACACAGCCAAUUAAGGAAAUCAUUGUUUGAUCCAAUGGUGCUGACUAGAAUUGUGUUAUGGACUUCUCCCCCAAACCGAUUCUCACAGACUCACAGUUUAAGGAGCAAAUUUUCUUGAUCUUUUGACAUAAUGUAUAAAUUUUGCAUCUGGACGUUAUCACUGUAUAAUUUCCUCGUUUAUUGUACUCCCUCUUUAAAUUCCUGUUCCAUCAUGUUUCCAUUUUCCUAGCCUUAUCUCAUUAGCAAAUUAUUCAUAUACAUGAACAUUCUUGACUGCAAGUUAAGUGCUUUGCAAAACAAAAUCUAUGUCUUUCACUAUAUCUGCAUAUUAUCAUCACAUCUUCCCUAAUUCAUCAUUGGCAGGGACGAUGAUCGUAAAACCUCAGCUUGGCCGAUGUCAGCCCUAUGCCAUAGUGUGCCGUGUUGCACGGCCCUCCGUCCGUUCUGCCAUCGCGCCGCCCGUCUACCCUGCUUGUGUCACGUGGAACAGCUUUUUGUUUGUAGAGGAGCCCAACGGGGACAACUUGGACUAAAGCAAAACAUCUGGGCCAUAAGAUAAGACCGUUGGACAUCCGAAAUACAAGUGAAAUACGAUCUGGGCUGUGUGAAAUACAACGAUCUGGGCCCAUUUGGUCAUAUCCCAAGGAAGAACAACGGGCGGUGAUAACAAGCGACUCGAGCACAAGUCAGGGAUUUUCGCUGCUGCUACUACUUGCUGCUGCUGCUACUUGGGUCUGCCUGGAGGACAAGGAAACCGGUAGCUCCAGUGCAGUAAGUAAACGGAUGUUCCAAAAGACUACAUCCUAGAGGGUGAAAACUUGCUCGUCACAACUAAUGAUUCCACUCUAGUCGCCUUCCAAGUUAUAGCAGCUGCCCACCGUGAGCUUGGCCUUUCCUCCUGUAUGCUGGCACAGUAAGUUGGCAGCCUGACACAACAACAAUCUGGGAGUGCCUGACAUCAAAAUUACCACAUUUUGAGUCAGAUUGACAAACAAGCUAAGAAAUUGACUACAGAAAACCAAUAAAAUGGUUUCAAAUGA